rnacentral:rRNA from 1 species
AACGAACGCUGGCGGCAGGCUUAACACAUGCAAGUCGAGCGCCCCGCAAGGGGAGCGGCAGACGGGUGAGUAACGCGUGGGAAUCUACCCAUCUCUACGGAAUAACGCAUGGAAACGUGUGCUAAUACCGUAUACGUCCUUCGGGGGAAAGAUUUAUCGGAGAUGGAUGAACCCGCGUUGGAUUAGCUAGUUGGUGGGGUAAAGGCCUACCAAGGCGACGAUCCAUAGCUGGUCUGAGAGGAUGAUCAGCCACACUGGGACUGAGACACGGCCCAGACUCCUACGGGAGGCAGCAGUGGGGAAUAUUGGACAAUGGGCGCAAGUCUGAUCCAGCCAUGCCGCGUGAGUGAUGAAGGCCCUAGGGUUGUAAAGCUCUUUCACCGGUGAAGAUAAUGACGGUAACCGGAGAAGAAGCCCCGGCUAACUUCGUGCCAGCCGCCGCCGUAACAC